UCCGAGUUGACCCCGGCAGUCUCCUGCGAGUCCCCGCCAUUACGCGCUGGCAACACAGGACAAGGGUUGCGCUCGUUGCGGGACUUAACCCAACAUCUCACGACACGAGCUGACGACAGCCAUGCACCACCUGUGCACGAGCUCCGAAGAGCCCCGCAGGUUUCCCCACGAGUUCCCGUGCAUGUCAAGCCCAGGUAAGGUUCUUCGCGUUGCGUCGAAUUAAACCACAUGCUCCACCGCUUGUGCGGGCCCCCGUCAAUUCCUUUGAGUUUCAGCCUUGCGGCCGUACUCCCCAGGCGGGGCACUUAAUGCGUUAACGACGGCACCGCAGGGGUCAAUACCCGCGACACCUAGCACUCAACGUUUACGGCGUGGACUAC
rnacentral:misc_RNA from 1 species